GUGGGGAAUAUUGGACAAUGGGCGAAAGCCUGAUCCAGCCAUGCCGCGUGGAUGAAGAAGGCCCUAGGGUUGUAAAGUCCUUUCGAUGGUGAAGAUAAUGACGGUAACCAUAGAAGAAGCCCCGGCUAAUUUCGUGCCAGCAGCCGCGGUAAUACGAAAGGGGCUAGCGUUGUUCGGAAUUACUGGGCGUAAAGCGCACGUAGGCGGCCAUGUAAGUUGGGGGUGAAAUCCCAGGGCUCAACCCUGGAACUGCCUUCAAAACUACAUAGCUAGAGGAUGUGAGAGGAUAGUGGAAUUCCGAGUGUAGAGGUGAAAUUCGUAGAUAUUCGGAAGAACACCAGUGGCGAAGGCGACUGUCUGGCACAUUUCUGACGCUGAGGUGCGAAAGCGUGGGGAGCAAA
rnacentral:rRNA from 1 species